rnacentral:rRNA from 1 species
GUUGCAGUUAAAAAGCUCGUAGUUGGAUUUCUGCGGGGACGGAGCGGCCGGACGCAACUUGCGUCUCGAGCUAGCGCUUUCCCCGCAUCCUGCCGCGAACCGUGCUACCAUUAGUUUGGUGGCGCUGGGGAUCGGCUCGAUUACUUUGAGAAAAAUAGAGUGCUCAAAGCAGGCCACACGCCUUGAAUAAGUUAGCAUGGAAUAAUGACUAAGGACUUCGGUUCUAUUUUGUUGGUGUUCGGGACUGAAGUAAUGAUUGAUAGGGACAGCUGGGGCGGUCUGUAUUCCAAAGCGAGAGGUGAAAUUCUUAGACCUUCGGAAGACAAACAGCUGCGAAAGCGUUCCGCAAGGAUGUUCCCUUUGAUCAAGAACGAAAGUUGGGGGAUCGAAGACGAUCAGAUACCGUCGUAGUCUCAACUAUAAACUAUACCAGCUAGGGAUCGGUCAACGUUUAAUUAUUCGACUUGAUCGGCACCUUAUGAGAAAUCAAAGCAUCUGGGUUCCGGGGGGAGUAUGGUCGCAAGGCUGAAACUUAAAGGAAUUGACGGAAGGGCACCACCAGCCGUGGAGCCUGUGGCUUAAUUUGACUCAACACGGGAAAACUUACCAGGUCCAGACAUAGUAAGGAUUGACAGAUUGAUAGCUCUUUCUUGAUUCUGUGGGUGGUGGUGCAUGGCCGUUCUUAGUUGGUGGAGUGAUUUGUCUGGUUAAUUCCGUUAACGAACGAGACCCCAGCCUGCUAAAUAGCGCGGCUGAGCUUUGCUCGGUGCGAGCUUCUUA